CAGGGUUGAUGUUCCAGGAGGGAUAAGCCAAAUGGCAAAUGAUUUAGGUAAACUAGAAAAAUGGUCAGAUUUGUGGCAACUGACAUUUAAUGUGGAUAAGUGCAAGAUAAUGCAUCUUGGACGUAAAAACCCAAGGGCAGAGUACAGAAUAUUUGAUAGAGUCCUAACCUGAACAUCUGAGGAAAGGGAUUUAGGGGUGAUUAUUUCUGAUGACUUAAAGGUAGGCAGACAAUGUAAUAGAGCAGCAGGAAAUGCUAG